rnacentral:lncRNA from 1 species
UUGUAUUGAUCCAAAAACUAGUUAUACACAUCUCAUAAACAAUUCAUAAACAAUAUAUAAUGAUCGAUCCUAUCUAUAUAUACACGAUAUUACAACUCAACAUAACUAACAACAAAAACGCAAAGCCGCCGCACAUAGCAAGAGGACAAAAGCAGCCGCAAACACCACCAGAAAAACACCCUGCCAGGGGAUUUACAAGCGAUCUAACAUCAAGGGCUAAAACCGUCAGCUAAAUAUCUAGAAACAGGGGAGCAGAAACAAAUCUUGAAACAUGUUAAAAACCAGAAAGAAAAAAAAAGCAUUAAUAGGACAUACAUAAGCACUUAAUUGACUUUCUUCAUUUUUCUUAUAUUUAAUUGUACCAUGAGAACCUUGUUUUGCUCAAAAAUAUAUUUCAUUUGUUCAAAGUUCAAACAUGUGAUAACAUAUGAUAAAUUUGAUCCUAAGGCUAGACGACAGUCCAUCAUGUAACAUAAUAACAAAUAUGAUAUAUUUCAUUUGCUCAAAAAUAUAGUCAUUCCUGGGACUAUAUUUCUAAUCAAUUCUUGGUAGUAAAAACUAAAUAAAAUCUAGUGUUACUCGAACUCUGUCCUUGUUACUUGAACUCUUGCUGAUACAUAAGAUCUAAAGGAACAACUUUAUCUCUGUCUUACUAUAUCUAUUUAAUUUUUCCCUAACACAAUUCUCAUCCCAGCAAUAUUUUGUAUAACUGUUGGAAGCGUGUGUAUUCAAAGUUCAGAUAUCACAUGUUUCUUUUAAUGAGUAUUUUAAUCUCCACCUUUUAUUUUAAUCCAAAGGCUAAUAAUAUUCAACCCUCUCACUUGAAUGACUACAAAACUCAUAUGAACUGUUUUAUUACUUAGUCAAAGACAAUAGCCAUUCUAUAUGAACCCAUAUGAAUAUUACAACGGACAAAUCGCAAACUUAAUAUUACACAGAUUUUGAGUAUGUCAGCUUACUUAAUGCCGUCGAUGAGGAAGACAAACUAAUUGUCUAUUGUAANNNNNNNNNNNNNNUACAUAUGGUCCAAUCUAUGAACAUUAACCCAACAAAAAAGUCAACUACCUAUCUUCUCGACAUAUAUUUAUAUAUUUACUGCAAUCAUUAAACAUAGAGAUAUCAUCGAACCUUCAAGUGUGUCUAAAUUAAACUUAUAGAGCAGCAGUGAAAGCAAUUGCCUAAAACAUGAAUAUCUCUAUUCCUAAGUUUUAACCCAGAGCUUUAUCAAAUUUUUUUCACAAAAGUAAAUCUAAGAUCUAAUCAGAGUAAGAGUAUGAAAGGAAGAGCUAGAAGUCAGUCCAUAAAAUGAUUAGGAAUGGAUAAAAUGGGGAUGGAUUUAUCUCAAAGUAAAAUGUCAUAUGACCUAUAAGGCUAGUAGCUAGAAGUCAAGACAUUUAGAUGACUUUGUCAAAUGAUAUACAAGACAAUAAAAUUGCAAACUCAUAGCCAAUGUUAAAUAAAGAACUACUAGUCACACAAGAAAUUACUACUCAUUUCAAAAGGCCUAAAACAAUUAAAUAAGGUACUGUAACCUGCUAUCCAAACUAAGUUUCAUUAAUCAAUUCAUAAACUAAACAAACAAUAACGUAAAAACAUAAACAUUACAAUAAGGUUUCUUAAUCANNNNNNNNNNNNNNNNNNNNNNNNNNNNNNNNNNNNNNNNNCAAGUCAAUCAUGCAAGAUCUGUUGUAGCCACAUCAAACAGAAGAAUGCAGUAAAAACAAGGGAAUGAAGACAAAUAAUAUAAUAAGGCAGUAAAAGCCAAAGGAAAAAAAGAGAAAGAAUAUCUAUGGACAAUGCAUCAUGAAACAAAACUUACAGGUUUCGAGGAACAAUGUAAGCUUAUUACAAUGGCCUAUAUUUCAAUUUCAAAGUCACACCAUAAUAACCCUUUCAAAUGCACCAACUAGUAUAUCCUGUAAAGAAACAGGAAUUGCCUCUUGAUAUAGAAAAGAUGUAGAAAAAGGGUGUGAGUGCAACCGAGGUGUUGAGAGCAAGAAAUUAUUAAAACAUUAACAAUUAACAAUUCCAUACAGUUUNNNNNNNNNNNNNNNNNNNNNNNNNNNNNNNNNNNNNNNNNNNNAUAAAAAUUAAAACUGAAACCAGGCUUGAAAUUGAAAGUUCCCCCUGUCUAUGCUGGAAUCAAGCUUAGGGAGUGAUUCCUUCUGUUUAAUGUUUAAAGUUCCCCCUGUCUUUGCCGAAAUCAAAAUAAUCUAAUAAUUUUUGUAAAUACUAAUAAUAAUCAAAUAAAAAUUAACAAUAACAAUACAACCGUCAGUUAUUACAAAGUGUAUCAAUCAAAUCAAUGACUGACCUUGUACAGGUCCAGGGGCGAAAAGUAUAGAAAAUGUGGAGAUAUAACGGUUGUUACAUUGAGAAUUUCCCUUCGAGGUAUAUUGAUUCUCGACCUUUCUUGCAAUAACCUGAAACACACAUAAAAGAAGUAUAAGAAGGAGGUGAGAACAACAAAGAUGUUGAGAGCAAGAAAUUAGGGUUCGAUAGUGAGGUGUUGGUUUGAGAGAGAAAUCACGAGAUUUAGGGUUCAACGGAGAUGGAGGUUAAACAAGAGUGUAACGAUUUAGGGUUUGAUGAGAUUUUGCUGUGAGAGUGGAGGAACAAUGGAGAAGAGGAGCGAUGGGACUAUGGAGAAGGGUAGAAGGAACUAUGUAGGUGAGUAGAAGAACAAUGGGGAAUGUUUUUAGUUUUUUAAUUUUUAUCUCUAUUUCCUUUUUUUAUUCAUCAACCAAUGGGUCAAUGGUUCGACACCCACCAACCACAAAUUAUUUUUUAUUUAUUUCAUUAACCAUAGCGCUUAUAUCAAAAGUGCUAUUAUAGGGUAUCAACUUUGAUAGCGCUUUCUCGAAAGUGCUAUUAAAGAGUUUGCGUUUUUAACUUUUAAUAGCGCCUU